GUGUCGGUAGAUAGGGCUGGGUCACCUGUACCCAACUGUCUGUCUAUGAAGAGUGAGCAUUCAAUACAUCGUCUAAUCGACUUCAGAGGAGAGUUCACAGGUGAUCAAAGUGUCCGGGUAGAUAGGGCUGGGUCACCUGUACCCAGCUGUCUGUCUAUGAAGAGUGACCAUUCAAUUCAUCAUCUAAUCGACUUCAAAGGAGAGUUCACAGGUGAUCAAAGGAUUCCCUGCUCACUGUUUUUACGUCGUUUAGACGAGAAGAGUUCAGAGAACAGUUCCCCCUUAAAACAGGUAUGAUAUAUACUUUUUCUAUUUCAAUAUUUGAAGUUGAUUUGACUUUCAGACGAUCAGAUUGAAUAUGUAAUCAGGUUAAUUAACGUUUAUAAAAAGUGCUCUGACCCUCUUUGGCUCACGGAAAGACUGGAUUCUUGUUUAGGAUCCAAAAACGAUGACAGUGGAAAUCUCCAAACAGAAUGUUUUAAAGUUCAAAGGCUUUAUUUGUCACAUGCAUAUACAUGUACAUACAGUGAUAUGCUGGUGAGACAAACUCCUUGUAGACUGCAACACAACGCUUCAAUAAUAACAAUAUACAGAAAAAUAAAACAAAAAUAAUAACAUAAUAUAAUAUAACAUGAAUACAAAUUAAAAGAGAAGAACAUAAGGAGCAGUUA